UGGGUUGUGGCUCAAUGGUAGAGCACUUGCUUAAGAUGUGAGUGGCACUGGGUUCAAUCCCUGGCACCACAU
rnacentral:tRNA from 1 species